GACGAACGCUGGCGGCGUGCCUAAUACAUGCAAGUUGAGCGCUGAAGGUUGGUACUUGUGCCGACUGGAUGAGCAGCGAACGGGUGAGUCACGCGUGGGGAAUCUGCCUUUGAGCGGGGGACAACAUUUGGAAACGAAUGCUAAUACCGCAUAAAAACUUUAAACACAAGUUUUAAGUUUGAAAUAUGCAAUUGCAUCACUCAAAGAUGAUCCCGCGUUGUAUUAGCUAGUUGGUGAGGUAAAGGCUCACCAAGGCGAUGAUACAUAGCCGACCUGAGAGGGUGAUCGGCCACAUUGGGACUGAGAAACGGCCCAAACUCCUACGGGAGGCAGCAGUAGGGAAUCUUCGGCAAUGGACGAAAGUCUGACCGAGCAACGCCGCGGGAGUGAAGAAGGUUGUCGGAUCGUAAAACUCUGUUGGUAGAGAAGAACGUUGGUGAGAGUGGAAAGCUCAUCAAGUGACGGUAACUACACAGAAAGGGACGGCUAACUACGUG
rnacentral:rRNA from 1 species